CCUUUGAAUUAUUCAUGUCAUGACAAGCCUAGCUUUCCCUGAAGUUCUUCUUCUCCAACUUCUUUUUACAUUCUACAAGCUCUCAAACUGAAUCUUGGGGCAAGAAUCGUUCUCAUCAGAAGGUGAGAAUAUCAUCUUAUUAAGAGUAUAGCUAUUUGUAUUCACAGGUAAGAGAAAUUUGAGUUUCCCCUUGGAAAGGAUGGCCCCUCUUUAGAACUCACCCCCUGAUCUCGGAUCUCUGAUAGGCUCAAGAAAACCAAGGAUUUAAUGUGCCCAACCUAAUUACAUUGUCAGAAUUCUUUAUUGUAAGUGGAAGGAGAAUACCACCCUUUUAGGAGAUUGGCUAUAACACCAGGCUCUGCAUUGAGGGAAAGAACCAUGGAGGAGGAAAGAAGGAAAGGAGGGAAGGAAGGUAGCCUUUUCCUGGCUCUUAAUCAUUCGUAUGUUCCCUGAUGCUACAUUACAAACCAGAUUCUACUGAGCUUUUACUGAGUCAGGAGCAUCUUAAGCCAAGUCCUGCAUGUGUUGUGUUGAGCAUUUUCAGUAUCAAUCUCAUUGGACCACCAUGUGAAUCUUAUGACAUGCAUGCCACAAUUAAACUCGCUUUUACAUCUAUCGAGACAUAGGAAGCUUAUUUUGUUUAAGAUCAUCCAACUGCUCUGCUUUGGAUCAUCAUCAUUAACCUCAUUCUUUCCAUAUUAGCCAUCCCAAAUGAUCAGCACCAUAGGCACCACUGCUUUGUUUCGCAGAAGAGGCUGAAGUAUAGAAUCAAACAGUGACUGCUCUAAGACCAAAGAGAAGACGCAUAAAUGGUGGAAAGAGUUGGAAGAGAGGUGCUUGAUAUUGAGUUAUGGGCGCUCUCCAUUCCACAAAGGUAUUGGAAGCAGGACUCAUAGAAUCUCAUCUCUAAAUUCUCCAUAGUAUUUUGCAUAGCACCCAACACAAAAUGAAACAAAUUCUUGUUAAAUGAAAAAAGAAGGAAAAAGGAUAAGAGAGAGGCAUAGGGAAGAGAGAGAGAGGAGAGGUAUAGAAAUAGAAGGAUUUAUAAAGAUAAAGGGGACAGGAGGGAAAAAUUCCCAUUUAUACAAAUUUUUUGAAUGAAAAAAAAAAGUCCUUUCCUGUGCUGUUAGGACGUGAUUUUUUCAUUUGCAAAAGUCAUGCACUGCAGAUGUUGCCUUCUGUGGAGCUCGUCUGAUCACCAUGACAAAGGCACUGCCUCAUCUAUAAAUAGAUGGUCAGAUUGAUUUUACUUCCUGCCCUGGUUCUCCCCACUGCUUGAUGAGUGUGACAACAGGAUCGAUGAGUGAUUCCAUCCGCCCCAACUGCAGAGGCCUCACCUGCACUCUCUUCUGGAAGAUGACAAUCAGACUCAUUAAAUUCACCACAAAAGAGCUUCAAAGACAGGUGUCCAAUCAGAGAAAUGGAGCCCGAGACGGUUUCCAUUGCAUCAAAGGGAACUGUGAUAUAAUCAGCCAUCCUGCCUGGAUCUAUUGUUAGUAAGACAAUUUAAUUCUUUUGCCUGUUUAGAUCCAUAUUAACUGGAGCUUAACAUGGCUGGAGCAGAUGUCAGUCAAGGCUUAGGUAUAAGAAAGCUGUUCUACUGGACACUUGACACUUACAGAUUUCCAUAGUAAGUGUUGCUCUGAUGUACUGGAGACACCUGGAACUGGGGUCCUAAGAAUGGACCUUGGGUCUUCCCACAGUUCUUGACCUUGGGUUCGUCAUUGAAUUACCCCUGAGGCUCAGCUUUUCCUUCUCAGUGUGCUUAACAACAUAGCUUCUGCAAUAAGACAGCACUGGUUACAGCUCCAACUCUGCAAGUUACUCAACCUCCCUGAACCUCAGUUUCCUCACCUGUCAAUAGAGAUUCUGGAAGCAUGUCCCUCAGAAAUUGUUGUGAG
rnacentral:lncRNA from 1 species